rnacentral:lncRNA from 1 species
CCAGUGUGAGCCAACCAUAUCUCUUGCUCUUCAGGUAUGGGACCCACCAUGAACUCGUUCAUCUAUGGGACAUCCUCUGACCGGUCGGUACAACGAAUUACUCGGUUAAGCAGGUUAGAUUUCUUAUAAAAAUUAAGAUACUAUUGUUACAAAUAAAUAAAACAACAAUUGAGUUAGUCUGGGAGACAGAAAAAGUUAGAAGGAAACUAAAGAUGAACAAAAUGAUUUCACCAAGAGACAAACAUAAACUAAGAGACAAACAUAGCACAAAGAAACUUCUCGAACAUCAAGGGACAAUCAACUAAAUCCAUAACAAAUUAAGAACUAUUUUGCAUGUAGACUUUAAAAGAGAGAAACUUGGGAAUAGACAUGGAGACAAAGCUUGAUCAAACCACCGCAACUUCCUAUAGAGAAUAGCCCAACCAAGAUAGAGAACAAAGCUUCAAGACCCGGGAGACAACAAGACAAUCUAUAUCCAUAGUCUUAUCAAACCGGAUAAGAUGAUGUCGAUGAGGAAACGACUUGAAACACCAACUUGAAGCUUGAUGAAAUAGCAGACCUCGAUCAGAUCAAAUGGUAAAUGACAAGAAGCAGUUGAAAUCACUCCGGAUUAUGUCGCAUGCAGAGGACAAGGAGACAGAAGAUCGAAACCAGAGAAGAAACCAAGAGAUCUCAAGACAUACAUGCAACAACAAAAGGCUAAAGAUACUAGAUACAAGAUCAGAUCCGCGUAGAUAGAUCAAAGAUCUAACCGAAUACGUCUAGAAGAAGCUUGUGCCGGUCAAAAGUUACUCUCAAUCACGGAAAACAAAAGAAAACCUGACUCUGGCUCUAAGAGAGCAGCCGGAGCCGGUGAUCGAAAAGAAACCAAGAACAGAUCUUAUAGAGAGAGGUUUGAUAAACAAAUAGUUAUGAUAUAUUGGUGACUGUGGUGGAAGAAGAGAAGAUAGUGACAGUGCCGAAACAAUCAAUAGUAUUAAUGGUGAUAAUGGAAUGCUUGACAUGAAUGAAGAAGAAAGAAAAAAGAAGAAAGAAAAUGAGCUAAGAGAAGAGAAGGUUGAGGAGAAGAAUGAAAAAUAAGAAACAAACAUGAAGAACAAAUAUUGUACUAACUUAUACUUUGACGAUAAUAUGGAAUAGUAUAUUAUAAUAUUAACAAGAAUUGUCGCAAAAAUUUGUGUAUAUUCUUAAUGUAAAUGUAUUGUUCGCGAAAAAAUGGUGGAUGCAUUAUAUAUUAAAUGUUGUCUUUACAAAACUCUAAUCGUCAUAUUCAUUUCAGUAGCAUACAACCUUUAGUACCAUAAAUCUGAAUUUUGCCAUAUUUGUUACAACACAAUAGAAUAAAACAUAUUAACAAAGAGUAUUGUUUUUUUUUUGCUCCAAUGCAAUCCACCAUCUAAUUCAGGGAUGGUUAUUAGUGGUGACGGUGGUGAAGAAUAAGACAAUGGAGCUGAUAGUGAAAGAAAAGAAUCAGAAAGCGAAGGAGAUACACUUUGCCAAAGAGGAAGAGAAGCAUUGUAGUAUACUAUACUGUAAGAGAAUAUUACACCAUAGGGCAGUUUUAAGUUUUCUAUAACACUAUAGGACAGUUCUUGCUACUAGAGCAGUUUUUUCUAACUAAACCCCACUUUCUACUUAUAUACUAAUUAAAUAAGCUAACUAACCAUAAAGUUAACCAACUAAACUUUUAAAAGGCAAGUGGGUUCUAGCAUCUUUCUCUCUCCCUUUUCAAUUUUACUCUUGACAUUCUCUUUUUUAAAUCUCAUACGAGAUGCUUUUAAUUUUUCAAGUAGCUUCACAUCUAUAUCACUAAUCGAUAACCCAACGGCGGCGUUCGAUUAGGCGAAAUGACAGCGAACAAUACUAAGAGGCGUACAAUUUGCAGGGAAGAAAAUCAAAGAAAAGUAAGAGCAAAUUGUUGUCGAAGACACAAAUAUUGAUGAAUUUGAGUUCUGGAUUCAAGAACUGUGAAACUUUGGAUGAUGAAAGCUAAAGAAAAAUUGAUUCUUUUGGUGUUUGUAGUUGACGGGUCAAAAACGAGUUACAGUCCGAGAGCUCUAGUUCUCCUCCUCUUCUCUGUCCUCAGCUCCUCCGUCCAAGAUGCCAAUGAGCUAAAAAUCCCCAAUUUCUGCAAAAUUCGUAACCCUAAAAAACUUGGAAAGAAAAUGACAUAAUUACGGUUAUGCCAUUAAUGAAUUAAUUAUUUAAAAAAUCGCGUACAUGUAGAGAUGUGUACAUAUGUACAUUCUAAGUGUACAUGUUGAUGUUUGUGAAAACCAUUAAAAUCACCAAUAUAUUAUGUACACCACUUUCAUCUUUCGGUUACUGUCUUGUUUCAUAUUGUCACCUGUUACCAACAAACAACCAAUUGGUUGCAUUUAGAUUGAGCCAAAUGACAUGUUUUCUUGGUGCUUGAAAUCCCCUAAAGUUUGGAUUGACACCUUAAGUACUACAACUACUAAAGGAUUAGACUUAUCCCACAUCAGUAAUAUUGCAACAAAUCUCAAAAAUAUAUUUUACAUUAUGCAAAUGUACAUUUCUUUAAUAAUAUGUACACGACAUAAAUGUACAAAAUCGACAAGUACAUACGUAUACAAUAUACAUAUUAUCUUUUAACGAAUAUUUACAUAUACACAUAUGUUUGAGACACAUGUUACAUGUUCAACAUGUUGUAAAGUUGUGUACAUUCGUUAGUGUACAUGUGUAAAUUAAAGGUUGGUGGCGUACAUGUGUCCAACAAAUGUGGUAGUGUACACGACAUGGGUGUACAAAAUCACAAUGUACAUUUACAAAGUCACAUUGUACAUAAAUUUAUAUGUAUGCAUAUAUAAGGACAAAAAAAAUCAGAAUGGACAUAUGAUACAUUUCUCUUGUUGGAGAAACAGUUCUUUCUUAUUUUGUGAAAACAAUUGUGUGUACAUUACAUUCAAACUAUACAUGUGUACACUUAAUUUUGUAUUAUACAUCAAAGUGAUUAUGUACCCAUUUUUGACUUUUUGUAGGUUUUUAAUUUAAAUAACUAAGCUUCUGCGAUUUAACCAUGUACACACAGGGUCGGGACAUCCUUGAAAUUUGACUGAACCCAAAUAUCAUUUUUCACACCUAUAUGUUGUUACAGUUUAAGAUUUUUUAGUUAACAUGUACAUAUGUAUAUAUUUAUUUUGGCAUUUUUAGUAAGCAACAGUCAAUCCAUCUAUAUGUGCAUAAUGACACCACAUAUUUUGGUAUUUUCAAUCAAUCUAUAUGUGUAUAAUGACACCACAUAUCGUUGCACCACAUCUUCGAAUGAUCCAUGUGGACAUUACCAGUGUACAUAAACUUCAUGUGGACAUUAACAGUGUACACCUUCGACAUACAAUGUUGAAACUUAUAAAUGUAUGUUACAAAUUCAUAAAUAGUUGAAUUUAUUAUUGAGCUACUUAUAAUAUUUUAAAAUGGUGUGCGCUUUUGACGUGUACACGCCUACCUCGAAUGUGAAUCACAAAAAUAGAUCCAGUCAGUGAUAAGUGACAAAUCCACUAAAUGAACAAAAAUCCACGUGUACUCAAUAUACUUGUGUACAUGAACAUGAUGUAUAUAACAACAAAAAUGCAACAUGGAGGUUGUUUACUUUAUCUGAAUGAAUCAAAAUUUAAGCGAACAUGAUGUAUACAUCCCAAUUUGAUGAGUUCAUCACUUAUCACAUAUGGUGUAGACAUCCCAAUUUGAUGAGUUCAUCACUUAUCACAUACAACUACUAUUUUUUAUUCACCAUCGAUUUAUAUUGAUGUACACAUGUAUGAAUCAUAUGGUGUACAAAACCAAACUGCUCACAAAGACCAUCAAUUUCUUUUCACUUAGUUGAAUAAGUGAUAACCACAAACUCAAACUGAUUUCUCUUUUUACAAAAAAAAAUAGUGUAUAUGUGAUUCGUUGUACAUGUGGAUAUUGUAAUUGUAUGUGCUACAUAUCAUGUACAUAUAAAUCAUUUAUUUUUUUCAUUUUUAAUGAGUGGCAUUUUUGUAAUUCCAACUUCAUCUUCCCCAAAAUCAAUUAGGGUUUUUUGCAAUUUUUCUCUAUGGCCGCCAGCCAUUAUUCUCACCUUAAUCAUCAGUUUUUUUAUUUUUCUUGCUUAUUAUACUUUUAAACUUGUAAAAAUAUCAUAUAAGACACGAUUUCAAGCUUUAAAUUACUUUUUUCUACAACAAAAACGUAAAUCUUGCUUUUUUUUAAUUACUGUCACAGUGCGAGGUGGAUGAGUUGCAGAGCACGGUGUAGAAGAGGAAGCUUGGUCGUGUUGAUCCAUGGCGAAGGAGAAGAUGAAACGCAAUUAAGAUUCGUUGAGGUUCAUCAGAGUCACAGACGAGCAGAGCCAGUC